CUCUGAGAAAGACAGAGAAAGAGGUGAUCAGGUGGCCUGAUCUGACACUUGAAAAAUACUUUCAUUGCUGAAAUUGCACCGAAGUCAGGAAACUAUAGUAAAAGGGCCUUCAGACAGAUCUGUAGCCAGAGGCUUGUUGUAAUACCUGACAUUGACUUCAACCUUGGACUUCUGAGUUCUGACCAUGAGGUACUCUAUAAAGAUAAUUUUAGGCUACAUGCACCAAUGGGAAAUGGUAAAUAAAAUGUAUUCCCAAGCCUGUGUGGCUCCUGACUGACCUGCUCCUUCAACAGGUUCACCACCUUCUGAAUGCAUUCGUUCACUGUGAGCUCUCCGGUCUUCAGAAUCAGCUCAGAAGUCACUGGGCACUCAUACAUAGAAUCUAUACCGGUGAAGCCUGGGAGAGAAAUUAAGCAUGUAAAACAGAGGAAGAUGGGAAUGAAAGAAGAAAGUUGAGUAUUUAUGUUUAGUCUGCUCUUUUUACAGGAUGUGUCUAUUGUUUUCUGUUAAGUUGUUUUGUACUUUUUGUUUUAGAGCAGCCUUUUUAAAGUUAACAUUUUUAUACAUUACCUUUAAUCUCCCCAGCUCUUGCUUUUUUGUAGAGUCCUUUAACGUCUCUGCUCUCGCACACCUCCAGAGGAGCAUUUA